rnacentral:rRNA from 1 species
GUCGUCCUACGGGGGGCAGCAGUGGGGAAUAUUGCACAAUGGGGGAAACCCUGAUGCAGCGACGCCGCGUGAGUGAGGAAGCAUUUCGGUAUGUAAAGCUCUAUCAGCAGGGAAGAAAAUGACGGUACCUGACUAAGAAGCCCCGGCUAACUACGUGCCAGCAGCCGCGGUAAUACGUAGGGGGCAAGCGUUAUCCGGAUUUACUGGGUGUCAAGGGAGCGUAGACGGAAUAGCAAGUCUGAUGUGAAAACCCG